AUUCUUCCAUAGCUGUCAAUUCUUCUCCUUCUUGGGUAUAUAUGGUGUUCAAUAGUCCAUAGUCAAAACAGGUUUUUACUAGGCUUGGGUUAGUUUUGGGUAGUGCAAUUAGUUUGUUAUAUCCUUGUAAUUUUUGGGUUAUAUAGUUGGUGUUUGGUUCUUUGAUGUUUGUAGCUCUGGGGUUAUGGUUUAGAAAAGUUUGUACUCUGUAGAUAUUUUCUAUGUAUUUCUGGGCGGUGUAGUUGUAAACUUUUUUUAUCUUGGUUUAGGCUAUCUCGGUAUGUGCUAACUUGUGGGGGUAUGAACAAGUGGUCUUUUUGUGUUUUUGGUGUAAAUGGUUUUUCAAAUAUUUUAUUCAUAUUCAUAUUAUGGUAUCUUGGUCGAUUAACUCCUUUGCUUGUACCUGCAG
rnacentral:lncRNA from 1 species